GCAUGUGGUUUAAUUCGAUGCAACGCGAAGAACCUUACCUGGUCUUGACAUCCACAGAACUUUCCAGAGAUGGAUUGGUGCCUUCGGGAACUGUGAGACAGGUGCUGCAUGGCUGUCGUCAGCUCGUGUUGUGAAAUGUUGGGUUAAGUCCCGCAACGAGCGCAACCCUUAUCCUUUGUUGCCAGCGGUUCGGCCGGGAACUCAAAGGAGACUGCCAGUGAUAAACUGGAGGAAGG
rnacentral:rRNA from 1 species